rnacentral:rRNA from 1 species
UGGGGAAUCUUGGACAAUGGGGGCAACCCUGAUCCAGCGACGCCGCGUGGGUGGUAAGGCCUUCGGGUUGUAAAGCCCUUUCAGCGGGGAGGAUGAUGACGUCACCCGGAGAAGAAGCACCGGCUAACUCUGUGCCAGCAGCCGCGGUAAUACAGAGGGUGCGAACGUUGCUCGGAUUUACAGGGCGUAAAGCGCGUGUAGGCGGACAAGCAAGUCGGUUGUGAAAUCCCUGGGCUCAACCUAGGAACUGCAUCCGAAACUGCUUGUCUUGAGUAAUGGAGAGGGUGGCGGAAUUCCCGGUGUAGAGGUGAAAUUCGUAGAUAUCGGGAGGAACAUCAGUGGCGAAGGCGGCCACCUGGACAUUCACUGACGCUGAGACGCGAAAGCGUGGGGAGCAAACAGGAUUAGAUACCCCUGUAGUCC